rnacentral:tRNA from 1 species
GGAGGAGUCGGAUAGUGGCCCAUUCCACAUGCUUGGAAAGUAUGCGUGCGUAAGCACUCGCGAGUUCGAAUCUCGCCUCCUCCG